rnacentral:tRNA from 1 species
GUGUCGCUCAGUGGUAGAGCACUUGUCUGGCAUGCAAGAGGACCUGGGUUCAAUUCCCAAUAC